GGCUUGGCGGUGAGGGAUGGGGAUGCGUCCGAUUAGCCAGACGGCGGGGUAACGGCCCACCGUGGCGACGAUCGGUAGGGGUUCUGAGAGGAAGGUCCCCCACACUGGAACUGAGACACGGUCCAGACUCCUACGGGAGGCAGCAGUGAGGAAUAUUGGUCAAUGGGCGUAAGCCUGAACCAGCCAAGUAGCGUGCAGGACGACGGCCCUAUGGGUUGUAAACUGCUUUUAUGCGGGGAUAAAGUGGCCCACGUGUGGGUUUUUGCAGGUACCGCAUGAAUAAGGACCGGCUAAUUCCGUGCCAGCAGCCGCGGUAAUACGGAAGGUCCGGGCGUUAUCCGGAUUUAUUGGGUUUAAAGGGAGCGUAGGCCGCGCCUUAAGCGUGUUGUGAAAUCCGGGUGCUCAACAUCCGGCUUGCAGCGCGAACUGGGGCGCUUGAGUGCGCAGAAAGUAGGCGGAAUUCGUGGUGUAGCGGUGAAAUGCUUAGAUAUCACGAGGAACUCCGAUUGCGAAGGCAGCCUACUGUAGCGCUACUGACGCUGAUGCUCGAAAGCGUGGGUAUCGAACAGGAUUAGAUACCCUGGUAGUCCACGCGGUAAACGAUGGAUGCUCGUUGUCGGCCCUUUGGGUCGGUGACCAAGCGAAAGCGUUAAGCAUCCCACCUGGGGAGUACGCCGGCAACGGUGAAACUCAAAGGAAUUGACGGG
rnacentral:rRNA from 1 species